rnacentral:rRNA from 1 species
AAACUAGGAUUAGAUACCCUAUUAUUUAAGAGCUUUACAUUGUAAGUAAAUAAAAAUUAUGAAAGCAAAAAAUUAUGGCGGUAUUUUAAGCUUAUCAGAGGAAUUUGCUCUUUAAUGGAUAAAACACCUAAAUCUUACUCAAAUUUGUUAUUACAAUUUGUAUACCACUAUAAAAACAAUUUAUAACUUUAAUUGUUUAAAUUUAUUAAAUUAAAAUAUAUUAAGUCAAGGUGCAGUAAAAAUUUGAGAAUGAAGUGAAUUACAUUACUUUUUAGAGAAAAAAAAUUAAAUUAAUAUUUAGGAUUUGAAAGUAAAAUUAAAAUAGAAUGUUAAUUUGAAUUAAGCUCUAAAAUAUGUACAUAUCGCCCGUCGCUCUCAUU